rnacentral:lncRNA from 1 species
GUCACAAAAUUUAGCACCAUUUUUUUUAAUUUUAACCUUUUUAUUUUAAAAAAAAUACUUUUUAUUGAACAUCUUUUGUUUCUUUCAAAAAUUGAGAAUGCAGCAAAAAAAUAAAACAACAUGGUAAUAAAGACUAAAAGAAACAAAAUACAAUAGCAAUAAAUAAAACAAAAUAAUUAGUAAGAAAAGGAGUGAUAUAAAAACCAGGGAUGAGUGCAACACGAAGCCCUUUUCCUUCUUUUCCCUUACGUUCUCUUUUCGAAAUUGGAUUUUUCUCUUCCUCUCUUUUUUUUCCCUUAUGCCCUCUUUUUGAAAUUGAAUUUUUUUCUCUCUCUUUUAUUUUGUUCCCUUAUGCUCUCUUCUUGAAAUUCAAUCCUCUUCCCCNUUCUUGUUUGCUAGGUGCCUAUUUAUAUACACACAUUUGUAAUAUUAUUGUGAUNCUGCCUUAAUGACGAAUUAAUUGUCAAUUAGCAAAAUAGGGAAAUAAAUGGUCUUGAUUGAAUUAAAUUUAAAAACAUAUUUUUCUCUUUAGGAAGAAAUUGAAUACAACAAUCAAUAUAUUAUUUUUAAUUAUUCCUUGCAAUGAUUGUCAUAAUGUUGAUUCGAAUUAUUACCAAAUAAAACCAAAUUUCGAAAAUAUUCCAAAGUGAUCUGUCCUGCAUUAAUAUUAAUUGCUUAUGGGUCUNUUGCACCAUUUUUCCAAGAAAAUCACGUGGAGCAC